ACAGGCAAAGACCGUGACAGCCACAUGACUGAUAGUGCUUAUCAUGCAAAGAAGUACAGAGUUUAGCCAGAUGACAAUAGCCAUUCUCCAAAAAAGGUAUUUCACUCCUCCCAUAUUUAACAACAAUGAGUAAAUUAUCAAGCUGAAAUUUUACAAGUGCUGGAUUGUGGUGAUUUCUUAAAGAGGUGAAGUUAAAACUUGGAAUGUAUUUCUACAGACUGUGUUUCCUUGACUGGUUGCUCUUAAACCAGCUUCAUACAUCAUUCUGAUGAACCAGUGGGGUUAAAAAUAGAGUUCUGCACCCUCUACUUGCUGCAAAUUUACAGACUAUUUGUAUUGGUGAAAAGUAAAUCCACUGAAAUCUAAAUUCAACAUACAGGGCUAAAAAUAACUCAAAGUGUAUUUCUGCUCAAAUAGGCAAUUAAAAUUGGCAGAAAAACAAGACAAUCAUCUCCAAAAAUGCAUUAACUCUAGCAAUUCUGAAUGGUCAUACAUUCUAACAUGUGAAGGCUUACACCACUCAUCUUCCCAAGACAAGAAGGCAGCAUUCUCGAACAUACUUAUACUAUAAACAGUGGGAUUCUGUAUACCAUUAUCUCAGUCAAGGCCUGCAGAAAUUUAGACUUUUGAUGAGAGACUCAGAUGUUACCCAAGAUAAAUUGAUUUUUCAGGAAAAAAAAAUGUAUAAACUGACUUAGCACAUCCAUGGACAGGCAACAGUUUUUUUCACUUGGAUCCCAGAUGCCCUGACAAAUAAGAAAGAAUUUUGGGAAAAGGAAUGCUUCCUUAAACUUAUUAUGUAUGUAUGUAUGUAUUGUCUUUUUAGGGCUGCACCUGCAGCACAUGGAGGUUCCCAGGCUAGGUGUCUAAUCAGAACUGUAGCCACUGGCCUACACUACAGCCACAGCCAGAUCCGAGCCAUAUCUGCGACCUAUCUACAGCCUACACCAAAGCUCACAGCAACGCCGGAUCUGUAACCCAUUGAGCAAGACCACGCCAGAUCCGAGUCACAUCUGCGACCUAUCUGCAACCUACACCAAAGCUCACAGCAAUGUCGGAUCUGUAACCCACUGAGCGAGGCCAGGGAUUGAACCCACAACCUCAUGGCUCCUAGUCAGAUUUGUUUCCACUGUGCCACGAUGGAAACUCCCUUAAAAAUAUUUUAUUUAUUUAAUUUUUUUUGGUCUUUUCAUCUUUUCUAGGGCUGCACCCACGGCAUAUGGAGGUUCCCAGGAUGGGGGUCUAAUUGGAGCUGUAGCUGCCAGCCACAGCCAGAGCCAUAGCAACGCAGGAUCCAAGCCACGUAUGUGACUUAUACCACAGCUCAUGGCAAUGCCGGAUCCUUAACCCACUGAGUAAGGCCAGGGAUCGAACACACAACCUCACCGUUCCUAGGCGGAUUCCUUAACCACUGAGCCAUGACGGGAACUCCUAAACUUAUUUUAAUAUGUGUUUCUCUACUUUAAAAUUUUACUGUCAUACUUGUGGUUGCCAAGGGGGAGGGGGAAGAAGUGGGAUGGAUCUGGAGCUUGGGGUUAGCAGCUACAAACUAUUACAUUUCAAGUGGAUAAGCGAUGAGGUCCUACUAUACAGCACAGGGAACUAUAUCCAACCACUUGUGAUAGAACAUGAUGGACAAUAAUAUGAGAAGAAGAAAUUGAUUCAAAACUGUUAAUCAAAUAUGCCAUAAUAAAAAAUAAAUUUAAUUUUAAAAAGUAUACUGUCAUAAACUAUAAAACUUUCAUUGAGUUCCUUACUUAGAUUCAUGGACAAUUCUUUGGGAAUAGAUCAGAUUCAUGAUUUAAAAUUUUUAAAUUAUAUUCUACCUCUAUCUUUUUGUGAGAGAGCUGGAAAUUGCAACCAACACAAUCUUUAUUUAAUAGCAAAUGCCCAUUUGAUGUAUGAGGGCAACGGUUGAAUUUCUCUAGUCAACAAUAUAAAUCUUGGCUUUUAUUUUCAGACACAAAGGCUGUACUAAAAGCCCAAAUACAGGAGUUUGGGUAUUUAGAUGUUUCCUUUACAUCUAGCAGGGAAAAAAGUUUCAUUAGGGCAACCUUUGACUUCAGAGAACUGAGAGAAAAAGGCUCAUUCAGACAUUCUUUAUCAAAACUUCUGUCACAGAAAUGUGUUAAAGAAACUUUCUAAGCCUUAACUAAAGACAUUAGGAAUUGACUCAAUUAGAGGCAAUGAAUCUAGGCCUAGACUCACAGGUAAUUCAUCUAAGGCCUAGUUUUGGCAAAAUAUUUAAGUAGGAGUGUUCUUCGUUUUCAGUAGGAAGGCAACUUAACAUCAUAGAAACAGCACUGACAUUGACAUUUGCUAUGGACAGAUUUGUCUGUCCUCCAAAUUCAUGUGUUAAUGCUCUAACCUAAAAUGGGGUGGUAUUUGGAGAUAGAAUCACUGGGGGUAAUCUGUAUGAGGGUGGAGCCCUCAAGAUAGGAUUGGUGCCAUUAUAAGUAGGGGCACAGAUCUCUCCUCCCCUCCCUACCCAUCCCGUUCCCUCCCCUCCCCUCCCCUCUUCAUCUCACUCCUCCUCUUCUUUUUCUCCUCUCUCUCAGUCCACCCCACCCCUCUCUCCCCAGCCCCAUGAGGACACAGCAAAAAAUUUGCAAGCCAGGAAGAUCCUCACCAAGAAUCAAAUUGCCUGUCACCUUGAUAUUGGGCUUUCCAGCCUCCAGAACUGUAAGAAAUAAAUGCCUGUGGUUUAAGGUAUACAGUUUAUGCUAUUUUGUUCCAGAAACUUGGAUGAACUAAUGUGGUGUUGGGCCCCAAAACAUUUCAAUUCAAAUUCCAUCUAGGCUUCUUACUAGCUGCAUGAUCUUGCACAAGUUGCUUCUUCUCUCUGAACCUUAAUUUCCUCAUCAUUGAAAUGGAACAAGUGUUUUUCUAUGUUUAAAUUAAAGCAUGUAUGAAACAAAUUAGCAAAAUACUUGUGCAUACCAGUUGAUCAGUAAAUUUUAGUUUUCUUCCCUUGCUUAGCAUCUUCAACCUCUCUCAUUAUACCUCCAUUCAGAAGACUCCUCCUCUACUUUUAUUCAUUCUGUCUUUAUUCAGGAGACAGUACAAUCAAUUGCCAAUGGCAUAACAGUUAUUAGUAGAUUUAUAUGUUAUAUAUUCCAGAUACAUAUUUACUUUUGAACAGUAGCCUCUGAAACAAUGAUUAAAAUACAAGCAAUGAUGGUCAUUUGAAAUAUAGGUCAGCUUUAAAAUAUCUGAGGGGAGGGGUAGUUGGACCACUGUACAUCUCAUAGGUUUUACCAUGUGCAUAAUGGCUCCAUUGCAAAUGUGUGGAGAAAAGCCAUUGAGGCCAAAACAUAAAACAGUCAUUAUAAUCAUUUAUGUUUAUUACCUAAGUUGGACUUAAGAACAACCAAACUUAGGUGGAAAUCUAUAUAUAUAUAUAUGUGUGUGUGUGUAUAUAUCUCUGUAUGUGUGUGCGUGUGUGUGUGUAUAUAUAUCCUCUCUUAAACAUGACAAAAGUACUUCCUUUAUAAAAUACAUAUGGACACUACUGUGUUCUAUAAGGCCUUAUAGGAAUUUACCUUGACAAUAUCUUUGACUCAUGCUCACCGAACUCCAGCUACUGAUCUUCUGGUUGCCCUUUAAGCACACCUGGCUCAUUCACUUUUAGGGCCUCCACACUUAUUCUUUCCCAAGGGCUUUUCUUGCCUUCCACAUUUUUAUUAUGCUCUUUUCUUUCCUUCUUUCCUUCCUUCCUCCCUCCCUUUCUUCCUUCUUUCCACAAAUAUUCAAAAUGUUCCCAACAUGUGCCAGGCACUAUCACAAAUCUCUGAGUUUAUGGAGCUUACUUUCCAGUGGUAAUAAGCAAUAAUCAUAUAAGUAAACUAUAUAAUAUUUUAUAAGAUGAUGCAUGCUAUGCAAACAAAAUCAGGUUAAAGCAAUGAAAGGUGGAGGGUUACAAUUUUAAUCGCUAGAAAGGUGAUAUAAGCAAAGACUCAACAGAGAUGAGAAAAUAGCCAGUCAGGUCUCUGAAGAAAGAUCAUUCCAGGCGGGGGUAUCAGCCAGCACAAAAGUUGGAGGUUGAAACAUAAUGAGUAAAGGAAGUAAGAUAGGCGAUGAGAGAUAAUUGGGAGACAUGGGGAUUAGUGUAAGGUUUAGAACAGAGAAUUGAUGUGAUGAUUCACCACUUUAAAGAAUCAACCUACAUGUUGUGAUCAGAAUAGAUCAGUUUCUCAACUUUGGAAUGAUUGAUAUUUGGAAUGGAUAAUUAUUUGUUGGGGGUUGUCCUGUGCAUUGUAGAACACUUAGAAGCAUCUCUGGCCUCUACUCACUAGCUAUCAGUAGGAAAAAACCCUAGUUGUGAAAACCAAAAGUAUCUAAGAUAUUGUCAGUUGUUCAGGGGUGGAGGAAAAAUUAUCCCUAGUUAAGAAGCACCACUGUAGGGAAAAAGGGUGGCAGCUUAAAUGUCACCUCUGAAAAGAAGCCCUCCUUGAUUGCCCAAUUUAAAGCAGCAACCCAGGCACCUAUCAUCCCAUCAUCCUGAUUUGUUUCUUUACAGCCUAUCUCCUACUCUGAGAAAUUAUCCUGGCCAUUUACCUAUUUAUUGAUCAUCUUUCCUUGCCUAAUGGUAAUAUAAGCUCCACAAGAUUUAAGGACCUCAUCUGCAUUAUUCACUGCUCUGUUACCCAGUGUCUUGAAAAAGUCUUUGCUGGGAAUCUCCGUUUAAACCACUUGAGAUUUUAUAUUAUUUUUCCAUUGCCUAAGCAAGCCAUGUAUAUAAACUCUUUGACAAAUUUGGAAUGCUCUGAUUCUAUAUUGAAGAUGGAAAGAGAUGCAAACUGCAUUUUGAGGGCUCAUGAAAGAGUAGCAAACAAAUUUGGAGCAAAAUUUCCUGCUUGCAAUGGGAAUAGGGAGGAAGAAGGUAGCAAAGUUCUCUUGGGAUGACUCUUUGACAAGUCUCGUUCACAUUUUUACCUUCUCAAUUUUUUUUUUAUUCAAUCAUAUUCUAUGGAGAGUCUCUUUGGGUACCUGGGUAAUAUUCUGAGUAACAUUUCACAUUCUAUUCUAUAUUGAAAUAGCUUGCAAACUUUGUGUUCACCUUACCUUUCCUAGAUCAAAGCUAAACGCAGAGUUCAAAAUAGUAAGGCUGGAGGCAAGAUGCCUGAAGCAGAAAACUCUAUGUUAAAGAAGCAUUCAGGAGUUCCUGCUGUGGUGCAAUAGGAUCAGUAGUGGCUUGAGAGUGCUAGGAUGCUGGUUUGACCCCCCAGCCUGAUACAAUAGGUUAAGGAACUGGUGUUACAGCAGCUGCAGCUUAGGUCUCGACUUUGGUUCAGAUGUGGUCCCUGGCCCAGGAACUCCAUAUACUGCAAGGCAG
rnacentral:lncRNA from 1 species